rnacentral:rRNA from 1 species
UACGAAGGGUGCAAGCGUUGUCCGGAAUUAUUGGGCGUAAAGGGCGCGUAGGCGGUACCCUAAGUCAGAUGUGAAAUCCCGGGGCUUAACUCCGGACGUGCAUUUGAAACUGGGGAACUCGAGUGCAGGAGAGGUAAGUGGAAUUCCUAGUGUAGCGGUGAAAUGCGUAGAUAUUAGGAGGAACACCAGUGGCGAAGGCGACUUACUGGACUGUAACUGACGCUGAGGCGCGAAAGCGUGGGGAGCAAACAGG